rnacentral:rRNA from 1 species
UACGUAGGGUCCGAGCGUUGUCCGGAAUUACUGGGCGUAAAGCGCGCGCAGGCGGCCCGCGAGGUGUCACGUGAAAGCCCCGGGCUCAACCCGGGAGGGUCGUGGCAAACCGGCGGGCUUGAGGCCGGUAGAGGUGGGUGGAACUCCUGGUGGAGUGGUGAAAUGCGUAGAUAUCGGGAGGAACACCUGUGGCGAAAGCGGCUCACUGGACCAUAACUGACGCUGAUGCACGAAAGCUGGGGGAGCAAACAGG